rnacentral:lncRNA from 1 species
UAUUCUUAUGAUGUUAUUCAUACUUUUCUGGACCUUGACAGUGUAUUUUACUUGGCACUUAAUGGGACAGUCACAAGCCUCCCGGUUUUCAUCUAAAAUAUCUUAAAUUGUGUUCUGAAGAUGAGCGGACUAAAAUAUCUUAAAUUUGUGUUCUGAAGAUGAGCGGAGCUUUUACGGGUUUGAAACGACAUGGGGGUAAGUAAUAAAUGACAAAAUUUUCAUUUUGGUGUGGAGUAACCCUUUAAUAAGUUUUGUAUUGUGCUUUGAACAUAAGUUUUAAAAGAGUAUGUAAAUAUGCAGAUUGGCCUGUAGAUACAAUGUUUUGAUGGUUUUUGUAUCUGAAUGAGAAAGGAUUUAAUGUAAUGUGAAAGAUGUAAUAAAAUAUAUUUUGUUCCAAAGCAAUGAUAAAUGAUCCACAGCUUAGCCCACAUAGACUGCUGUUGUGCUCACUUUGUGAAAGAUAAAAAAAAAAAAAUGACCUAAGUAUUGAGAAAUGUGUCCUAGCGAUAGUAAAAUAAAUAAAAAAUAAAUGUAAUAAAUGACCAUCAGUUGAUUAGCUGGAGUAAAUAUGUGUGGAUGUGUUGUUGUAUGGCUACCAAUUGUUUUCAGUGUGUGUGAGAAUAUUGUUAACAUGGGGGAUUCCCAAACAUAGUUGCUUCCAUCCAUCAGCACAAACUUCCCUUCAUCAAGCGGCAGAAAAUAGAACAGUGCAUGAAUAUUUCAUAAAACCUUCACCUCCAACACACACACACACACACACACACACACACACACACUCAUAAAUACACUCAUUUGGAGUGACUUCAACAUUAUUCAUCAAUAUACAAAGCACACACACACAUUCAUUAAAAGCCUGUGUGUGUGGUAUUGUGUCUGUGUAUGUCCUCCCCCUGUACAGUAAAUAGAGAAAUAAAAGAUGAGAGAGUGUUGUGAAGUUCUCCUCCUCUAGCCGCUCAGUCUGGAGUCUUGGCCAAAUUUCCGCUGUGGUGUAGGUGUGGUGCCCGUCUCUCAUUCUUUCACAGAGACACAGAGACAGCAGAGAAGUGGGAGUGCUGUCGCUUGCGGCGGGCAGGAGACCAGCGAUCUGCCACGCCAAACCGGGCACCUCCACCAGAGCACCCGAGGGGUCGGGUGAGUCAAAGGUCCCGUCACGGCGGCCCGCAGGAACAUCCCUGACUUCCUGUUUCUGGAGGUGGUGGGGCGGCAGGAGGUGGACUGGAGGAGCGGUGAGACGGCUGCACACACAUUUACUGUGAGAAUGUCCGGGGGGAGUGCGGAGCAGAGACAGCCAGGCGAAGACCACUGUCACGUAGCCAACUUUCACCAUCUAUGAGAGGGAGAGACCUUCCCGUCCACCACGGCCCACGCAAUAUUUGCCAGUAAAUUACUGACGCAGCAGAAGCAUGUAUGUGUGAGUGUCACACCACCAUGGACUCUGUUUGUGUUUCCCGCUCCUUGUUGGUUGUCAAGAUUGUUAAUUUGAUUUCAUCAUUAUGUUCCGGUGUGUGUCUCAUUAUCGUGUGUAUUUAAGUUCAGUUCUGUGUUGCUCUUAUUGUCCGGUGUCG